GGGGGCGUAAAGGUUUCGACGGGGGCUUUGCAGCCGGAUAAGCGGGCAGAAGAGCGUGGCUUCUAUAAAAAACGUAAACUUAAAAUUAAACGCUAACGAAAAUUUAGCUGCUGCCUAAGGGCAGUCGUCACGCCGAAGAGGACUGCGGCUUCGGAUGUGGCGUCACACAGCAGUGAAUGUGAAUGUGCCUAAGCUUUGCGGCAUAUCAUGAAUUUAUGAAGCUACCUGACCGUGCAGAGUGCCGUUUCUCGGCACGGAAAGGGAAUUUAAAUAAACGGAUGCGCCCGGAGAAGGUCUCGUGAAUAGGCUUUCGGACAGGGGUUCGAUUCCCCUCGCCUCCACCA
rnacentral:tmRNA from 2 species